rnacentral:snoRNA from 1 species
UUCACUGAUGACCAAGAUUAAAAAAUACAAACUAGAGUUUCUGAAUUUAUUUUCGUGAUUAGAAACUAAUCGCAUUAUCUGAGA